rnacentral:lncRNA from 1 species
GACUGUUAAUGUAGCAGAUGGGGAUCUGUGAAACUCCCUCCUUAGACUGAAGUGUCCCCCCUUACGCAAUUGCAGAAGGCCUUUUUAAAUAGCACGAUGCGUUGGAAUACUUCAGCAGGGCAGUCACGUGUUUUCAAGGCAGAAGUCCUGAGUUUGAGUCUCCGUUUGAGCUGAAGCAGGGGGAGCGGUACUCUAUAAGCAGGCAGUGUGAUGUCCUUUACAAUGGUGCCACUGGACUCGGAUCUACAACUGCGCUCAGCUCAACCCCUGGAACUGCUGUGGACGCGGUGGGUUGGAUCUCUUCAGGAGGGCGGUCAGCCGUGUGUUUGCGAGGCAGAUGUCCUGAGUUCGAGCCUCGAUAUGAGCUGAAUCAGGGGGAAGCGUGACUCGAUAAUCAAGCAGCAUGUCGUCCUUUACAUGAACUUCCUGAACUUAUCCUUAUAGGCUUUAGCUAAGUGGGCUAACACAAUCUUGUGACAUGCAGGAGACCUGGUUCCAAUCCAGUCAGUUCAAAUAUUAAAUAGGGAGUGGAAAGGCUACGUAAUUUUUUUUGUGACACUCCCUUCCAACCUGUCCUGCGUGACCUGUGAUCAUCUUAGCGGGGAACAGAAGGAAUGUCCGCGUUCUAGAGAGUCGUAGCAUUCAGGAAUGGGGUAAACACAUCAAAUCUUAUAGCCAUAAUGGUGCAAACACUAGAGCCAAAUUAAUAGGAAGAAAAAAAUGUACAUGCUACAUUAGCUUCAGACACCACCAGAAGCUUAAUUUUGACUUUCCAGCUGGUAAAGUACCAGGAUGUUGUCUCUGGUUUUGAAUCUGAAUUUGGAGAACUGAAUUUGAAAACUGAAUCUGAACGCAACUGAGAAGUUGAAAAUAUAAAAGGUUGAUAAACUUUAAAUGCACACUGAAUAUAUAAAUAUUACAUUUAAAUAUUCAAUUAAAUGUAAAUUUUAUUUUUAAACUUAAUGCAAUAUUCAUUCAGUUCAGUUUCAAAUAAUGAAAUGCAAGUUCAAUUUAUGAUUUCAAUGAUUCAGAGAGCAAGAGAGAGAGGGAAAGAGAGAGCAAGAGAGAGCGAGAGAGUGAGAUAGAGAGAGAGAGGGAAAGAGAGAGAGAGAGAGCGAGAGAGGGAAAGAGAGAGAGAGAGAGUGAGAGAGAGGGAAAGAGGGAAAGAGAGAGAGAGAGCGAGAGAGAGAGUGAG